GACGAACGCUGGCGGCGUGCUUAACACAUGCAAGUCGAACGGAAAGGCCCUGCUUUUGUGGGGUGCUCGAGUGGCGAACGGGUGAGUAACACGUGAGUAACCUGCCCUUGACUUUGGGAUAACUUCAGGAAACUGGGGCUAAUACCGGAUAGGAGCUCCUGCUGCAUGGUGGGGGUUGGAAAGUUUCGGCGGUUGGGGAUGGACUCGCGGCUUAUCAGCUUGUUGGUGGGGUAGUGGCUUACCAAGGCUUUGACGGGUAGCCGGCCUGAGAGGGUGACCGGCCACAUUGGGACUGAGAUACGGCCCAGACUCCUACGGGACGCAGCAGUGGGGAAUAUUGCGCAAUGGGCGGAAGCCUGAUGCAGCAACGCCGCGUGCGGGAUGACGGCCUUCGGGUUGUAAACCGCUUUCGCCUGUGACGAAGCGUGAGUGACGGUAAUGGGUAAAGAAGCACCGGCUAACUACGUG
rnacentral:rRNA from 1 species